rnacentral:rRNA from 1 species
ACCGAAUAGAUACCCUGGUAGUCCACGCCGUAAACGUUGGGCGCUAGGUGUGGGGGUCCUUCCACGACCUCCGUGCCGCAGCUAAACGCAUUAAGCGCCCCGCCUGGGGAGUACGGCCGCAAGGCUAAAACUCAAAGGAAUUGACGGGGGCCCGCACAAGCGGCGGAGCAUGCGGAUUAAUUCGAUGCAACGCGAAGAACCUUACCAAGGCUUGACAUGUACAGGAAAGUUCCAGAGAUGGUUCCCCCGCAAGGUCUGUACACAGGUGGUGCAUGGUUGUCGUCAGCUCGUGUCGUGAGAUGUUGGGUUAAGUCCCGCAACGAGCGCAACCCUCGUCUUAUGUUGCCAGCACGUAAUGGUGGGAACUCAUAAGAGACUGCCGGGGUCAACUCGGAGGAAGGUGGGGAUGACGUCAAAUCAUCAUGCCCCUUAUGUCUUGGGCUUCACGCAUGCUACAAUGGCCGGUACAAUGGGCUGCAAUACCGUAAGGUGGAGCGAAUCCCAAAAAGCCGGUCUCAGUUCGGAUUGGGGUCUGCAACUCGACCCC